rnacentral:rRNA from 1 species
CCUACGGGAGGCAGCAGUGGGGAAUUUUGGACAAUGGGGGAAACCCUGAUCCAGCCAUGCCGCGUGAGUGAAGAAGGCCUUCGGGUUGUAAAGCUCUUUCGGCUGGGAAGAAAUCGCACAGGCUAAUACUCUGUGUGGAUGACGGUACCAGCACAAGAAGCACCGGCUAACUACGUGCCAGCAGCCGCGGUAAUACGUAGGGUGCGAGCGUUAAUCGGAAUUACUGGGCGUAAAGCGUGCGCAGGCGGUUGUGCAAGACAGAUGUGAAAUCCCCGGGCUCAACCUGGGAACUGCAUUUGUGACUGCACGACUAGAGUACGGCAGAGGGGGGUAGAAUUCCACGUGUAGCAGUGAAAUGCGUAGAGAUGUGGAGGAAUACCGAUGGCGAAGGCAGCCCCCUGGGUCGAUACUGACGCUCAUGCACGAAAGCGUGGGGAGCAAACAGGAUUAGAUACCCUGGUAGUCCACGCCCUAAACGAUGUCAACUAGUUGUUGGUAGGGUUAAACCUAUUAGUAACGUAGCUAACGCGUGAAGUUGACCGCCUGGGGAGUACGGUCGCAAGAUUGAAACUCAAAGGAAUUGACGG